rnacentral:piRNA from 1 species
UUCUUAAAUGAGUACUUCCACUCUGCUGC